GAUGAACGCUGGCGGCGUGCCUAAUACAUGCAAGUCGAGCGAACAGACGAGGAGCUUGCUCCUCUGACGUUAGCGGCGGACGGGUGAGUAACACGUGGAUAACCUACCUAUAAGACUGGGAUAACUUCGGGAAACCGGAGCUAAUACCGGAUAAUAUAUUGAACCGCAGGGUUCAUUAGUGAAAGACGGUUUUGCUGUCACUUAUAGAUGGAUCCGCGCCGCAUUAGCUAGUUGGUAAGGUAACGGCUUACCAAGGCAACGAUGCGUAGCCGACCUGAGAGGGUGAUCGGCCACACUGGAACUGAGACACGGUCCAGACUCCUACGGGAGGCAGCAGUAGGGAAUCUUCCGCAAUGGGCGAAAGCCUGACGGAGCAACGCCGCGUGAGUGAUGAAGGUCUUCGGAUCGUAAAACUCUGUUAUUAGGGAAGAACAAAUGUGUAAGUAACUAUGCACGUCUUGACGGUACCUAAUCAGAAAGCAACGGCUAACUACGUG
rnacentral:rRNA from 1 species